rnacentral:rRNA from 1 species
CCUACGGGGGGCAGCAGUGGGGGAUAUUGCACAAUGGGGGGAACCCUGAUGCAGCGACGCCGCGUGGGUGAAGAAGCGCCUCGGCGCGUAAAGCCCUGUCAGCAGGGAAGAAAAUGACGGUACCUGGAGAAGAAGCCCCGGCUAACUCCGUGCCAGCAGCCGCGGUAAUACGGAGGAUGCGAGCGUUAUCCGGAUUUAUUGGGUUUAAAGGGUGCGUAGGCGGGCUUUUAAGUCAGCGGUAAAAAUUCGGGGCUCAACCCCGUCCAGCCGUUGAAACUGGGGGCCUUGAGUGGGCGAGAAGAAGG